rnacentral:rRNA from 1 species
CGAGCUGGCGGCAUGCCUAUCAUGCAAGUCGAGCGGAAUGACGAGAGCUUGCUCUCUGAUUUUAGCGGCGGACGGGUGAGUAACACGUGGGCAACCUGCCCUACAGAUGGGGAUAACUCCGGGAAACCGGGGCUAAUACCGAAUAGUCAGUUUGUCCGCAUGGACAAACUCUGAAAGACGGUUUCGGCUGUCACUGUAGGAUGGGCCCGCGGCGCAUUAGCUAGUUGGUGGGGUAAUGGCCUACCAAGGCAACGAUGCGUAGCCGACCUGAGAGGGUGAUCGGCCACACUGGGACUGAGACACGGCCCAGACUCCUACGGGAGGCAGCAGUAGGGAAUCUUCCACAAUGGACGAAAGUCUGAUGGAGCAAUGCCGCGUGAGCGAAGAAGGUUUUCGGAUCGUAAAGCUCUGUUGUAAGGGAAGAACACGUACGGGAGUAACUGCCCGUGCCAUGACGGUACCUUAUUAGAAAGCCACGGCUAACUACGUGCCAGCAGCCGCGGUAAU